CUUCAGCGAGCCGAGCAGCAGGGGGUACUCACGGUGCUGUCCGUAGGUGGCCAGCACGGCCUGGGCCUC
rnacentral:antisense_RNA from 1 species